CCUACGGGGGGCAGCAGUGGGGAAUAUUGCACAAUGGGGGAAACCCUGAUGCAGCGACGCCGCGUGAGUGAAGAAGUAUUUCGGUAUGUAAAGCUCUAUCAGCAGGGAAGAAAAUGACGGUACCUGAGUAAGAAGCCCCGGCGAACGACGUGCCAGCAGCCGCGGUAAUACGUAGGGGGCAAGCGUUAUCCGGAUUUACUGGGUGUAAAGGGAGCGUAGACGGCAGCGCAAGUCUGAAGUGAAAUGCCGGGGCUUAACCCCGGAACUGCUUUGGAAACUGUGCAGCUAGAGUGCAGGAGAGGUAAGUGGACUUCCUCGUGUCGCGGUGAAAUGCGUAGAUAUUAGGAGGAACACCAGUGGCGAAGGCGGCUUACUGGACUGUACCUGACGUUGUGGCUCGACAUCGUGGGGAGCAAACCGGAUUAGAUACCCGAGUAGUC
rnacentral:rRNA from 1 species